CACGGGGGGGGCAAGCGUUGUUCGGAAUUACUGGGCGUAAAGGGCUCGUAGGUGGCCAACUAAGUCAGACGUGAAAUCCCUCGGCUUAACCGGGGAACUGCGUCUGAUACUGGAUGGCUUGAGUUUGGGAGAGGGACGCGGAAUUCCUGGUGUAGCGGUGAAAUGCGCAGAUAUCAGGAAGAACACCUAUGGCGAAAGCAGCUCUCUGGGACGGUACUGACGCUGAGACGCGAAAGCGUGGGGAGCGAACAGG
rnacentral:rRNA from 1 species